GGAUCAUUAGCUCAGUGGUUAGAGCAGCUACCUCAUAAGUAGAAGGUCAUCUGUCCGAAUCAGAUAUGAUCCA
rnacentral:tRNA from 1 species